rnacentral:rRNA from 1 species
CCGAAUUCGUCGACACAGAGUUUGAUCCUGGCUCAGGACGAACGCUGGCGGCGUGCUUAACACAUGCAAGUCGAGGGGGCUACUUCGGUAGUCACCGGCGAACGGGUGCGUAACACGUGAGCGACCUGCCCCACCGGUGGGGAAUAGCCGGCCCAACGGCCGGGUAAUACCGCAUACGCUCUUUUUGGGGCAUCCCGAGAAGAGGAAAGCCCUGGGUAACCAGGGCACCGGGGGAGGGGCUCGCGGCCUAUCAGCUAGUUGGAGGGGUAACGGCCCACCAAGGCUAUGACGGGUAGCUGGUCUGAGAGGAUGGCCAGCCACAUUGGGACUGAGAUACGGCCCAGACUCCUACGGGAGGCAGCAGUGGGGAAUAUUGCGCAAUGGCCUAAGGGCUGACGCAGCGACGCCGCGUGUGGGAGGACGCCCCUAGGGGUGUAAACCACUGUUGCCCGGGACGAAUCCUGGAUUAGCUCCAGGUUGACGGUACCGGGUGAGGAAGCACCGGCUAACUCCGUGCCAGCAGCCGCGGUAAUACGGAGGGUGCGAGCGUUGUCCGGAAUCACUGGGCGUAAAGGGCGCGUAGGCGGCAGGCCAAGCGUGUGGUGAAAGUCCGGGGCUCAACCCCGGAUCGGCCGUGCGGACUGGUUUGCUGGAGCACUGUAGAGGCGAGUGGAAUUCCGGGUGUAGCGGUGGAAUGUGUAGAGAUCCGGAAGAACACCGGUGGCGAAGGCGGCUCGCUGGGCAGUGGCUGACGCUGAGGCGCGACAGCGUGGGGAGCAAACAGGAUUAGAUACCCUGGUAGUCCACGCCGUA